rnacentral:snRNA from 1 species
GGCAUCAUCUUUUACACA